UCCUACGGGUGGCUGCAGUGGGGAAUAUUGCACAAUGGGGGAAACCCUGAUGCAGCAACGCCGCGUGCGGGACGAAGGCCUUCGGGUCGUAAACCGCUUUUCUGGGGAAAGAGCAAGGACGGUACCUCAGGAAUAAGUCUCGGCUAACUACGUGCCAGCAGCCGCGGUAAAACGUAGGAGGCGAGCGUUAUCCGGAUUUACUGGGCGUAAAGCGCACGCAGGCGGCUCUGUGAGUCGGACGUGAAAGCUCCCGGCUUAACCGGGAGAGGCCGUUCGAUACUGCGGGGCUUGAGGUAGGGAGAGGAAUGCGGAAUUCCCGGUGUAGUGGUGGAAUGCGUAGAUAUCGGGAGGAACACCUGUGGCGAAAGCGGCAUUCUGGCCCUCACCUGACGCUGAGGUGCGAAAGCGUGGGUAGCAAACAGGAUUAGAUACCCCUGUAGUCCUA
rnacentral:rRNA from 1 species